UCAUCGAGUCUUUGAACGCACGUUGCGCCUUUUGGUAUUCCGAGAGGCACGCCUGUCUGAGCGUCAGUAAAACCCUUCGGCUUUGAAUUUAUUUUUCUUGCGCCGGUGCUGGCGGUGGGUGCUCCCGCGAGGGACGCCCCCGUUUAAACCUGACGGCGGGAGGCAGCGGCCGCGACAAUAGUAGAAAUAUAUUUGUUGAGGUCCCGCUGUAACUCCUAGCCCCCCCAAAAUUCUAAAUUUUGACCUCAGAUCAGACGAGGAUACCCGCUGAACUUAAGCAUAUCAAUAAGCGGAGGAAAAGAAACCAACAGGGAUUGCCUCAGUAGCGGCGAGUGAAGCGGCAAAAGCUCAGAUUUGAAAUCCGGUGCGUUUUACGCCCCCGAGUUGUAAUCUGGAGAGGAUUCUCCGGCAAGGUCGGCCGCCCAAGUUCCUUGGAACAGGACGUCUUAGAGGGUGAGAACCCCGUACCCGGCGGUUCGACCGAGCCAUGUGGAGUUCCUUCGACGAGUCGAGUUGUUUGGGAAUGCAGCUCCAACUGGGUGGUAAAUUCCAUCUAAAGCUAAAUACCGGCGGGAGACCGAUAGCGCACAAGUAGAGUGAUCGAAAGAUGAAAAGCACUUUGAAAAGAGAGUUAAAAAGUACGUGAAAUUGUUGAAAGGGAAGCGCUUGCCAUCAGAACCGGCGCCGGUCGAUCAACGUUCCUUCUGGUUCGUGCACUCGGCCGGCUGCCGUGCCAGCAUCGGUCGCCGCGGCGGGACAAAGACGGUGGGAACGUGGCUCUCUUCGGGGAGUGUUAUAGCCCACCGUGUAAUGCCGCCAG
rnacentral:rRNA from 1 species